rnacentral:rRNA from 1 species
GGAGGAAUAUUGGGCAAUGGGGGAAACCCUGACCCAGCAACGCCGCGUGAAGGAAGAAGGCCUUCGGGUUGUAAACUUCUGUGACAGGGGAAGAAAGAAAUGACGGUACCCUGAGAGGAAGCCACGGCAAACUACGUGCCUGCAGCCGCGGUAAUACGUAGGUGGCGAGCGUUGUCCGGAAUCACUGGGCGUAAAGGGCGCGUAGGCGGUUUGACAAGUCGCAUGUGAAAUACCAGGGCUCAACUCUGGGGGGUCAUGCGAAACUGUUGGACUUGAGUGUAGUAGAGGAAAGCUGAAUUCCUGGUGUAGCGGUGAAAUGCGUGGAGAUCAGGAGGAACACCGGUGGCGAAGGCGGCUUUCUGGGCUAUAACUGACGCUGAGGCGCGAAAGCGUGGGGAGCAAACA